rnacentral:lncRNA from 12 species
ACAGGGAACCCCAGAGGGACCUGAGUCCUGGCUUACAGCGCUACCUUCCCCUCUCCUGGACCUGGACACUGUCUUCAUGGCCCACCCCCCGCCACCAGGCUACGUCAGUUUGCCCUUUCUCUAACAUGCUGGUCAUAUUAUCCAUGCCAGUGCGGAAAGACUAAAUCAAUCCAUAUAUAUAGUACUUAGCAGAAAAGUGCCCCACUGUAGUAGGCGUUAAAUAAAUGUAAGCAAUUGUGAUCCAGCGCCAGCUCCCAAACACAGUUUCAGAAAUCACCAUCAAUGAGGCCAUCGGCAAGCCACGAGGGCAGAGUGGAUGUCAGAGGGGGAUGGUGGUUCCUGGAUGAUGGGGCGAUGCCCGCCUCUGCCCUGAGUGAAGGAAGCAUAACAAAUUAGCCCUGCUUUCCAUAUUGCUGGAUCUCAUCCAAAGCAUCCCAAGAGUUGGUCAUGCCGCAAGUGGACCAGCCCUCCUUCCUGUCGACACCAGACCACCCCAUGCUACCUCCUAGAAUUCCGGGAAGGCCCAGCCCAUCUCAUUUCAUGUCUCCCUCCAGCCUUUUCCGGUGAUUUGUCACUGCCUGGUGCCUGAGUGAAAGCAGGUUUCAGAAGUGAGCAUCACAGGGAGAAAGAAGAGCUGUGGUCCCCAGGAGUCCUGAACAAGGCAUUUGGGAGCAGUGGGUAGACAUGUGUGACUCCUGGGAACAGAUGGCAUGGCGGCCGGACACUAUAGGUGAGGCUGGGUUGGGACUCUGGGGUCUCGGGGAGGGCAUAAGGAGGUGGCCCACUCUGGUGUCAGCUUGCACAGACUCUAAGUUGCUUCUCUACCCAUUCAGAGGAGGAAGAGCUGAUAACCAGUGGGACCACUUUCCACCACAGACUUUGGAUUCAACAAUUCAGUUUCUAGAACUUUACAGGAUGUCUGGGCCACAGUCAGGCUUCCUUGGGGCUGCUGCUUUUCCCUCUCGUGCUCUUCACUGGGCUUCUGGUGGCCAUCCUCGUCCAAGGUCAGGUACAGAUGCCCAAGGUCAAGGACUCCCAGGGUGCAGAUGUUACCUGGGUGGGGGGCUAGUUCCCAGAAAGAGAUAAGGCUGAAAGCCAAGAUUUGGGUCCUCCAGGUUUUCCUGGUCAGCUGCCCUGCUUGGUGGCCUCUCCCACAGUCCCUCCCCACUCUGCUGCAGGGGAGGAGGGGGAGGGGGAGGAAUAAGAGGACUCCUGGCUCUUGAUCUCUGGUGCAGAUUUCAUCCACCAUCUUCCCCAUCUUCAGAAAGGAUUAACCAAGAUCUUGACUGAGCAACAAUGUCCCCAAGGGCCUUGUGCAGGGCACGUACACAGCAGAUGUUUAAUAACCACAGAUUUUUUUUUGGCACAAUCUUCAGGGUCCCAGGUCCCAGGAGCUAGAGCCUUUGAAGCAGGAGAUCCAUGAAGAACUGACCCAGCUGAAGGCUGGACUUGGUGACCGGCCAGGCACCAGGGUCCUGGGGGUUCUGGAAGGGUCUCUGGUGUGCUGUGGGUGUGGUGGGACUCUGCUUGAGUAACCGUCCCUCACUCAGCUAGGAACACAGAGUGACAAGGAUGGUUCCCCUUGGUAUUCCCAGGGGCACACAGUAGGCACUAAAUUAAACCAGUCUCUUAUUCUGAGCUCCCUACUUCUCCCAGUCUGGAGGAUAUGGGACCGGGACUCCUAGUUCUCCUGGGCCUGGGGGAGGGUAGCAAGUGGGGGAGGGGGGCGAGCCGUUGGGCAUGGAGAACCAAGGAGGGCCCCCUCCCCGACCCUCAGGGGAUUGAAGAGUGGGCAGACCUGGGGUUAGGGGCAUCAAGCUGAGUCCCAGCCCUGCCACCUGCCCCAUCCCUGGGAGCGGACAUUCUUCCGAGGCAACUGUUACUCCUUCAGCUCCCAACAGAACUAACACGACUCUGUCACUGCCUGCCAGGAAGUGGGGGCCCGACUCGUCGUUACCGAAAGUGCCGGGGAGCAGGUGCAUCUGUCCAGGGAGUCAGCCUGACCUGGGGCAUGCCCCUGGCCACUGGUCCACUGGGCACAAGAGAGCCAGAUGAGAUUUUCUGGAAGAGAGACUGCCUGCUUCACUUGGGGGGGCGGGGGAGGAUAAGAACCAGGCAUCCUGCAAGGAGGUACAAAUGAGAUCUGGACACCUGGGUCUGGGGGACACGUAAAACAUAAAUAAGCUCCGGUGGUGUCCUGACAAAUGGCUAACACUUAGCUCUCUGGAGGGAGCGGGGGAUAAGUCCUGAUUUGGAGUGUUGGCCAGUUUCCCUGGCGUACGUACUGCCACUGUGGCUGAUCUCAAGCCAUUCACGUGAUGCCGUCACUGCGGAGCUGACAAGAUACACGGUGGGGACCUGGCUUGAUUUGACUCCAGCACGUCAAACCCAGGCAUGAGUCAACUCAUGGGUACAUGCUUGGCACAUGUAAGAGCACACAAACAUGCAGUAUUACCAGGUGUGUGUGCUGAGAGACCAGUUGUGUGCAUGUGUCUGCAAGUCGGAACAUACGUGCUCAUAGGAUACAGAUGUGAGAGGUGCUCAGGACCUGGCCUGGCAGGAAGCGUAAGGUCCCACUGAAAGACGAGCUUGCUGCCAGGCAACUGGAGAGAUGCUGAGCCCAGAAAGUGGGGUCAGAGCCCCCUCCUGACUUCCCUACGUCCACCAGAACUUCCUACAGCUGCAGACUUCCAAGAGAAGCUGCUUCACCUGGGAGACUGGGUGGCUCAGUUGGUUAAGCGGCUGCCUUCGGCUCAGGUCAUGGUCCUGGGGUCCUGGGAUUGAGUCCCACGUCAGGCUCCCUGCUCAGUGAGGAGUCCACUUCUCUCUCUGCCUCUCUCCCCACUUGUGCUCUCUCUCUCUCUAAUAAAUAAAUAAAAUCUUAAAAAAGGAAGGGAAAA